rnacentral:rRNA from 1 species
GAUGAACGCUAGCUACAGGCUUAACACAUGCAAGUCGAGGGGUAACGAGAGGAAAGCUUGCUUUCCUUGUCGACGACCGGCGCACGGGUGAGUAACGCGUAUCCAACCUGCCCCCAACUAGGGAAUAACCUUGCGAAAGUAAGACUAAUACCCUAUAAUUUCCUCAGAUGUCAUCUGACGAGGAAUAAAGAUUUAUCGGUUGUGGAUGGGGAUGCGUCUGAUUAGCUUGUUGGCGGGGUAGCGGCCCACCAAGGCAACGAUCAGUAGGGGUUCUGAGAGGAAGCACCCCGACAUUGGAACUGAGAGACGGUCCAAACUCCUACGGGAGGCAGCAGUGAGGAAUAUUGGUCAAUGGACGGAAGCCUGAACCAGCCAAGUAGCGUGUAGGAUGACGGCCCUAUGGGUUGUAAACUGCUUUUAUACAGGAAUAAAGUUAGCCACGUGUGGUUAUUUGUAGGUACUGUAUGAAUAAGGACCGGCUAAUUCCGUGCCAGCCGCCGCCGUAA